rnacentral:rRNA from 1 species
AUUGAACGCUGGCGGCAGGCCUAACACAUGCAAGUCGAGCGGGGUUUUCGGACCUAGCGGCGGACGGGGUGAGUAAUGCGUAGGAAGCUACCCGACAGAGGGGGAUACCAGUUGGAAACGACUGUUAAUACCGCAUAAUGUCUACGGACCAAAGUGUGGGACCUUCGGGCCACAUGCUGUCGGAUGCGCCUACGUGGGAUUAGCUAGUUGGUGAGGUAAUGGCUCACCAAGGCGACGAUCCCUAGCUGGUUUGAGAGGAUGAUCAGCCACACUGGAACUGAGACACGGUCCAGACUCCUACGGGAGGCAGCAGUGGGGAAUAUUGGACAAUGGGCGGCAAGACCUGAUCCAGCCACUGCCGCGUGUGUG